GGAGAAUCUGAAACGCUGCACUCCUGGGUUCAGCCCGUUGUCAUGGUAACAGCAGCGAGGCAAGACGAGCAGCAGACAGGCAGCUUCGCUCUUUCUUGAUCUCAGCUUCUCUUUAUGUCUCUCACACAGAGAUUAGUGGACAGCUGAUCUCAGUCCCUGGUUGCAUCUGUCUUCUUCUUCCUCCAGAUGAAAAUGGAUUGACGGCAAGGAGACCACUGGCUACUUCACACACGGACGCGUUCAGCGGCGUCGUGUGCGUCUGCGCAUUUCAAGUUCUCUGUUUUCUCUGGAGUUCUGAACUUGUUCUUUUGGUUGGCAAACAUCAUGGGAUUCACACAGUCUAACCUUUCCUUUCCAGCACAUGCAUAGCAACACGUUCAUCUGGGAGCUGCACCUCGGAAAGCCAGACCUGUACUUCCUCACAGCUGCUCCACUGCAGCCGGUGACAAACCGCCGUUGGUUAAGACAAACAAAAACACAAAAUGCUACAAAGGUCGCCUAGAUCGACUUAGAUAACAGGAUUUUAAACAAAGCUGUCUCUGCUGGCUACUCAGAGACUAAACAUAAGAUUUUGAACGUACCUUUACGUUUAACAAUUGAUUAAGAAUUUAAUUAUUACUCUGCCAAGGAACAUGGCGGAGUCACGUGACGAUCGGCUUACGUUUGUCCUUCUGUUAGGCUGUCUGUGUGCGACAUUGCUCAAAAACUGAAAAACAGAUUUGGAUAAAAUUUUCAGGGAAAGUCGAACCAAGUGAUUAGAUUUUGGCAGUGAUGCGUCUUAUAAUCUGGAUCCACGAAUUUGUUAAGGAAGUCAAAAUAGACCAUCAAAUCAGGAACAAUUUGUGCUCAAUAUGAAUCUGAUUCGGGGCUGCACAGUGGCAUAGUGGUUAGCAUUUUCGCCUUGCAGGAAGAAGAUCCCUGGUUCAAAUCCCGGCCUGGGAUCUUUCUGCAUGGAGUUUGCAUGUUCUCCCUGUGCAUGCGUGGGUUUUCUCCGGGUACUCCGGCUUCCUCCCACAGUCCAAAAACAUGCUGAGGGUAAUUGGUUACUCUAAAUUGUCCGUAGGUGUGAAUGUGAGUGUGAUUGUGUGUCUGUAUAUGUAGCCCUGUGACAGACUGGUGACCUGUCCAGGGUGUCCCCUGCCUUCACCCGAGUCAGCUGGGAUAGACUCCAGCACCCCCCGCCACCCAAGUGAGGAUAAAGCGGUGUAUAGAGGAUGGAUGGAUGGAUGAGUCUGAUUCUCAACAUUAGGAAGUUUAAAAAUAUAUUUCACUUUUACUUGUUAACCGUAUUGUGUACAUUUGCUUUCAUCUGUUCAUUGAGGUGCAGAUGUUUUUCAUGCUAGAAGGCUCUACAUCUUGAUCUCAGCGUGCAACCUGCACCAGUGCCUCUGCAAAAGUAACGACCAGCGCAUUACAGUUCAUGAAUCAGAAUGGCUGAGUGGUUUACACGAGGAAAAAACCCUUUUUACCACAGCGGUGCCAACAGAAAUGCAUCACACGCAGCCUCUGAUGCUCUCCAGCAGGAGCUAAAUGUAAAGUAGCUCAGCAGAAAUGACUGUGAGCAUCAUAAAAAUGUCCCCAACACAGUGACAAAUUACAAAGCAAAUUUCGAAUUUGCUUCAACAGCAGAGCUCUAGGGCAAAGAGGCGUAGUGUCACGAUUAGUAGCCUGAUCCUAAUCAAUGUGAGUGAGCUGAUCUGAUGAACAACAUUAUGCUGCCCUGCUUGGCUCCAGUGUGUUUUAUCUUUCCAAUGCUUUGUUUAUAAAGUCAUCACUCACCGGAAUUCUGCCAUUCUGUCUCACACUGACUCUGAUCCUCAUCAUUUCUUGUAAUUCUAAAGAUAUGAUUCAUUACCUCAAAGGUAAAUCUCGAGAGGAUCGACACAUCUUGGUCUGUGUUCAGUCCAGAAGGCUGCUUGGGGAUUGGGAUUCCCCACCGAACCAAAGGCAAAUCUCACAGGAGUGGGUGGUUUUAACUUUGCUGUAGGCAGUCAAAAAAUAAACUGUGGGUUUUCUGCUAACUACAAAGAUAGAGAAAAUAAAUGAAGAUAAAAGAGAGUUUAUACAUUACAAAAGCAAAGCAACUGUGACAUUUGGGCAUAUUUCUCAGUUGAUGCAACGCUUAGAGAUUUGUCACCUCUGGGUUCAGGUGACAGCAGCUCUGUUCUCCCAGAUCAAAGUAAGCGCUUCUUUAAAAAUAAAGCUCUGCUUCCUGCACAAGUUAAGCAACAAAUCAGCAAGAAAUGUAUGAAAUGUUGCUUACUUCCUUAAAAUGCAGUUCAUUUUAAUAAAUGCAGUUGUAAUUUUGCAGCGUUUUUACGGGGAGCUGUGCAUGUCUUUACUCAAACUGCACAGUAAAACAACAUGUUGUCUUUGUGGGAUGUGAGAGGACACAAAAUCAGUGGAAGUCUAUAUUAAGCAUGCAUGAUUUGCAGGUGCAGGCAGAAAUGGACACACAUCGUAGGAGUGUGCGGUAAUGGUCAGAAAUCCAGAGGGAGUAGGAUUAAGAAAACAGUCCCACACAGAGCUCAAGUUCAGUGUUUAAAAUACAAACUACGAAACACGCAGCUUUUAAACUGCCAAGCAGGAUCUGUUCCUCAUUUGUAAUUCACAGUUUUCUGUAAUUUCAGAAUGCAGAUGUUAUGCAGCUUCUGAGUUUUAGCUCAUGUUGUGUUCCACAGGGGAAACCAAAUGUUCAGCUACUGGGUAUCCAAUUAACAGCAGCUGUCCAAUUAAGUAAAACCAUGCUACUCUUAAAUGUACUAAAGGUAAAUUAUUCCUCAGUGACAAAAGUUAAAUUUCCAAAAAAUAACAUUAUUUUUAUCCAGCAAAUCCUACAACUUUUUUAAGUGGAGUAUAACCACCUUUGGGAUGUGCUAGGAGAGGGAUCCCAUUGUUUGUGUUUCUGAGGAAAAAUGUGUUAACAAAAGUUUCAAAAUAAGAGUGGUGGUAGGACGUCACUUUCAGAUCAAUUAAUUUCUUAGCCCCUUCAAUGAACUGUGCAUGUCAGCUUGCUAUGCAACGUCUCUUGUUUGAGUUUAGACUUCCAGCCCUCAGAUUGCAUCUUUGACUAGCUGUUCAUUGACAGAGCUAAGCUGCUGGAAGCCACCAGAUUCAGAGAUAUCGUAACAUAUUCACAUGUUGGUCGACUCACUAAUCGCCCGCUGACGUGGCUGCAGCCGCUACCCCUGCUGAGGCAAGGUCCUCCCCUGUUGCUAAUCAGUCUGUCGCUGUAACAAUAGCUCCCAGCAACUACUUUUAAGCAAACAACAGCUGCAGAGGCCACUGUUGCCAUUGCUCAGAAAUGUUACAUCAGCUGGCUUUAUGUCAAGAAGAAGAAGAUUAUAAUGGGCAACUGCUUCUUGUCAGAUUGUCUAAAGUCUAAAAUGACUCACUGGUAGUUACUUGUGUUUAGUAUACUGUCUCUUUGUAAUUAUUUCUACCUGACCUUUCAAACGAGUCUGCUCUUGCCUAUAAUGAUGAUAGUGUGAUUUGUGUUUCAACUUAAGGCCUUUUUGCAUUGGAAGCAGACAGUGUUAUACGUUAUUACACCUGCCAUGCUGCUUUGGAGGUGAUUCUUGCACACAUACAGAGAUGUUUCUGCCUAUUCUGGUUUGUGCCUGAUUAAAACAAUAAAGAACCGGUGGGAUUCCUGUUUGGUGACGUCAGUGUGACAUGGAUUUUGGUGAAGAAGCUGGUGGUUUCAUAAAUAAGCAAUAGAAACAAUGGAAGUUCAUCUAUAAAUUGAAUUUCAUGUAAAACAACCCCAGAAAAACAGAAUUAGAAAUAUGCUUAAAUACAAAAAGGAGUAUGAACAUAUGAUUGUGUAAAAGAGGCUUAAUGCUUGUUUUAAAAGGGCUGGAAAGACUUUAAAAACUGAAGUUAUCACAAUCUUUGAUCCACUUAUUCAGACUUGAAGAUUAAUGAUCAUGAUUGAUUGCUCAUGCCUGCGGAGGCUGGAAGGUAGAGCUCUGGUGAUCCGCCAGCUGGAGCUACCAGAGGAAGCGUCGCUGUCCUGAGCAUUUUUUCUCCUUCUUCAGCCUAUCCCAGCUGACUCGGGGUGAAGGCAGGGACACACCAACACCAGCUAACCUCAGCAUGUUUUUGGAUUGUGGGAGGAAGCUGGAGAACCUGGAGAAAACCCUCGCAUGCACAGGGAGAACAUGCAAACUCCAUGCAGAAAGAUCCAAGGAAGGCUGGUACGCAAACCAGGGAUCUUCUAGCUGCGAGGCGAUGGUGUUGACCUCCAGUAUCUCCACUGUGCAGGUAGGCAUAUUAGAGCACUUUUUAUUAGAUGAUACCUAAUUUCCAUAUUUUACCAUAUCAUUUCUGAAAACUUGUAGUAGUAGUACAAGAUCUAAAUGAAAUGAAAGAACAGUGUGAGAUACAUACACAUCUGAAACCAAAUGGGUCCACCUCUGUGGCUUCAUUAAUCCAGUUUGGUUCAAGACAUCUCCAGUAUCUCCAGUGUUCAACCACAAAUGUGAACAAUGUCAGACCUCAUUCUUGGUCUGCACCCAAGUUCAAGAACUAGGACCUUGUCUUUCAGUUAAACUGUUCGUUGAUUCAGACUAAGCUGCUUGUGGGAAAUUGUUCUUAGUCCCUCGACAUGUAGGAUGGCUUUCACUGUCAGUUCCAGCAUUAUCACACAUUCUCAGGGAAUUUACCUCUAAAUGCUUUAACACAACUCUUGUCGCCAGCAGCUCCUAAAUAGGAAGCAUAUCAACGCCUCGUUCAAAUCAGUAGUAUACUCAGUUUAAAUAAACAGAUCAUCUAUUUAGAUUGUACUUUAAAUGUUUUAUCCCUAUCCACUUUUCAGGGGUAAACUGUCUCGAUCCAGAAACCCCAGUCUGCAGAUGUGCCUGUUGGCUUUUGGGGUCAAGCUGUGGGAGGCCUUUCAUCUCUGUUACUAAUAUUACUCCUGUGCUCUGGUUUUCAUUUGGUUGCUAGUUUUUUCCACCAUGUCAUGCCAGAUGUAUGUCUUGGGAAAACAGUUCUGGAAUCACUGAUCCACUUAAGAGAAAAUAUGAAACAUAAUCUGUUGUCUGUUUCUGCAUUGAUUGUUAUUUUGCUUAAGUUACUUCCUGACCUGCAUCCAUCAGUUGGCCUGAUGGCUGCUUGUUUAUGACUCAAACAUCAUCCAUGGUACAGUGACGUUUAAGCACUUCAGUCAAUUUAUAUGACAGAAAACCAAGCCGUACAUUUUUACCUUGUAGAAUGAGGAAAUGAAAGCCUAAUUGUGUGUCGACUGCAGCUUUUUAAAGCCAACAGAAUGUCUUGUGAUACCAACUUCUAUCAGGGUGAAAAGAUUGAACCACGUGUUGCCUCCUGUACUACAAGACACAAGAUGAGUAAAAUAAGCAGUGAUGGUUGAUAAGCACCAUGGUUGAGCACUUCCACCUUAAAACUACUUAGAACUACUAAUGACUUUAUCACAAACACAGAAUAAGAUUUCUGGGGUUUUAUAUGCAACCAAACAAAAGAACCAAUGCUGUGAAUUUUCAAGGUGGGACUUCCUGUUUUAUUCUUCUUCUCCAGAAUGGGUUUGUCGUUCCAAGAUGUUUGGAUGAAUUGCUCCGGUAUUAGAACUUUUCACGGCACGCUAGCACCGUGUACUUGUACGAUGUUGGAACAGUCGUAGAUGAGCUGGUGGUCUCAUCCCUCUAAGUGGUGGAGGGAUGGAGGGAGAGAAAGGGAGAGACUUCGUAGAACCACACAUUCUAGAAGAAACAGCACAACUGAAGAAUGUGAAGGAAAGAGGACGUCAUAUUCAUGGAAACAAAUCUAAAAGUAUAAUUUUGAUACAUGGAGUUUUUAAGGGCCUAAUCAAUGAGCGUAGCAAGACUAAAUAGAAACGAAGGUCAGAUUUUUAAAGAAAUGGCUAAAGGUGAAGACAAAAGUUUUGAUAUUAAAUAGAGAACCGAAUGAAAACUCAUUGUGAUUUUUGUUCCAAAACAUGUACUACAGGUUUUUGGUCAGCAUGUGUCUCUUUUUAUUCCUGGCUGGAGGCAUUGUGCUUGUGUCUGCCCAUCCAUCUGUCACAUUUUCAUGAACUCCUUGAGGGAGUUAAUUCAAAUUUGGUGCAAAUGUUCAACUGGAUUGAUUCGACUUCGGUGGUCAAAGGUCAAAGUCACCGUGACCUCACAUCCGUACCUUUCUUCUGAAUGCUGCAUAUCAGGAAUGCCUGGCAGGAACUAAUGUUUGCUUGCACAUAAAGAUAACCUGAUUACAAUUUGGUGGUCAAGGGUCAGCAUAACUGUGACCUCACAUAUACAUUUCUGGCUAUACCUCAGGAAUUUAGAUGAUAAUUUUCACCAGAUUUCCCACACAUGUCUCAUCGAACAAACAGAUGAAUUGAUGACCAUUUUAUUUAAAAGGUCAAAGAUCCUCUUCACUGUAACAUCCGAGUGGUCCGCUCCAACGCUUUUCUGUCCAUUAUUCAACACCAUCAGAUGGAGACAUGGAUGUAAACUGCAGCUUGACUAUAUUGUGGAGGCAUACAACUUCCAGUUUAAGCGCAAUACGUAACUUGUAUGUAACCCGCCUAAAGAAGGGUUGAAAACCAUUUGUAUUCAUUUCUGAUCAUUACUUCUUUCCACCUUACAUUUUUAAGUAUUGUGGGUUUUAUUUUGGAAACCGGAACGUUUUUUUUGGAUGAGACAGGAAGUAGUGCGCUAAAACACUCGACUUAGCUUAACGUCGCUAAUGCUGCUGAUGUGAGAGUUGAAAAUGAGAGAAAAAGGUAUGAAAAACUGUUUGUCUUGCAUGAUAAACCAAGAAAUUACUAAGUCGAUUAUAUGAACUGAUUGAAAUUCCAUUUUAGAGGUUGGAGAACCGUCGAAGACGCACUUUUAAUCACCCUGCGUUCUCCAAAUGAAAACCGCAUUCUUGGUUAGGUCUUAUUUGAUGUCUGGAAAAUGUGAAGCUCCAGUCCUGGUGUCCAACGAGGCUGAUCGGUGAUCCAGUCGAUGGCGAGCCUCCCAGUCCAACUUUGAGCCUCCACUACACCAUUCAGCGGAUUCUGUGGUAGGAUUGCGUCAGUCCCACUUCCCGACACCAAUGAGAGCCCAUUUGGAUACCUUUCCUUGACUUUGACUACUCCCCUGACUUAUUGACUUGAACUUUGAAUGGAUCCACAACAAACUAGUUCCACUGGAAUACCUCAAAUGGACAUUUUAUGUUUUAUUUUCUCAGUUUAUUGGGGCCAUAGGUAUUGUACUGUACUGAUGUUGUGCACUGUUUAAAUAGUUGUCUAAAACUAAAAGUUUACAAUAACAACAUA